rnacentral:rRNA from 1 species
AGAGUUUGAUCAUGGCUCAGGAUGAACGCUGGCGGCGUGCCUAAUACAUGCAAGUCGAGCGAAUGGAUUAAGAGCUUGCUCUUAUGAAGUUAGCGGCGGACGGGUGAGUAACACGUGGGUAACCUGCCCAUAAGACUGGGAUAACUCCGGGAAACCGGGGCUAAUACCGGAUAAUAUUUUGAACCGCAUGGUUCGAAAUUGAAAGGCGGCUUCGGCUGUCACUUAUGGAUGGACCCGCGUCGCAUUAGCUAGUUGGUGAGGUAACGGCUCACCAAGGCAACGAUGCGUAGCCGACCUGAGAGGGUGAUCGGCCACACUGGGACUGAGACACGGCCCAGACUCCUACGGGAGGCAGCAGUAGGGAAUCUUCCGCAAUGGACGAAAGUCUGACGGAGCAACGCCGCGUGAGUGAUGAAGGCUUUCGGGUCGUAAAACUCUGUUGUUAGGGAAGAACAAGUGCUAGUUGAAUAAGCUGGCACCUUGACGGUACCUAACCAGAAAGCCACGGCUAACUACGUGCCAGCAGCCGCGGUAAUACGUAGGUGGCAAGCGUUAUCCGGAAUUAUUGGGCGUAAAGCGCGCGCAGGUGGUUUCUUAAGUCUGAUGUGAAAGCCCACGGCUCAACCGUGGAGGGUCAUUGGAAACUGGGAGACUUGAGUGCAGAAGAGGAAAGUGGAAUUCCAUGUGUAGCGGUGAAAUGCGUAGAGAUAUGGAGGAACACCAGUGGCGAAGGCGACUUUCUGGUCUGUAACUGACACUGAGGCGCGAAAGCGUGGGGAGCAAACAGGAUUAGAUACCCCCGUAGUCC